rnacentral:rRNA from 1 species
UCGSGGCGGUGUGCGCAGAAGGGUCUGGGCUCGAGCCUGCCUGGAGCCGCCGCCGGUGCAGAUCUUGGUGGUAGUAGCAAAUACUCCAGCGAGGCCCUGGAGGACUGAUGUGGAGAAGGGUUUCGUGUGAACAGCCGUUGCACACGAGUCAGUCGAUCCUAAGCCCUAGGAGAAAUCCGAUGCAAACGGCGAUGGGAAACGCACAGACUCGAGUCACGAGACAGAGACCCAUUGAUCGGGCGAAAGGGAAUCCGGUUCCUAUUCCGGAACCCGGCAGCGGAACCGUUGUUUGUCGGGCCCUCGCAAGGGGUUCGUCAGGGCAACCUAAAAGGGCCCGGAGACGCCGUCGGGGGCCCCGGAAAGAGUUUUCUUUUCUGCAUGAGCGUUCGAGUUCCCUGGAAUCCUCUCGCAGGGAGAUAGGGUUUGGAACGCGAAGAGCACCGCAGUUGCGGCGGUGCACGGGAAUUCCCGACGGACCUUGAAAAUCCGGGAGAGGGCCACGUGGAGGUGUCGCGCCGGCUCGUACCCAUAUCCGCAGCAGGUCUCCAAGGUGAAGAGCCUCUAGUC